rnacentral:rRNA from 1 species
CGUAGGGUGCGAGCGUUAAUCGGAAUUACUGGGCGUAAAGCGUGCGCAGGCGGUUAUAUAAGACAGAUGUGAAAUCCCCGGGCUCAACCUGGGAACUGCAUUUGUGACUGUAUAGCUAGAGUACGGCAGAGGGGGUGGAAUUCCGCGUGUAGCAGUGAAAUGCGUAGAUAUGCGGAGGAACACCGAUGGCGAAGGCAAUCCCCUGGGCCUGUACCGACGCUCAUGCACGAAAGCGUGGGGAGCAAACAGGAUUAGAUACCCUGGUAGUCCACGCCCUAAACGAUGUCAACUGGUUGUUGGGUCUUCACUGACUCAGUAACGAAGCUAACGCGUGAAGUUGACCGCCUGGGGAGUACGGCCGCAAGGUUG